GCGUGGCGGCGCUAGAAUGCAGUCGAACGGUAACAGGAAGCAGCUUGCUUCUUUGCUGACGAGUGGCGGACGGGUGAGUAAUGUCUGGGAAACUGCCUGAUGGAGGGGGAUAACUACUGGAAACGGUAGCUAAUACCGCAUAACGUCGCAAGACCAAAGAGGGGGACCUUCGGGCCUCUUGCCAUCGGAUGUGCCCAGAUGGGAUUAGCUAGUAGGUGGGGUAACGGCUCACCUAGGCGACGAUCCCUAGCUGGUCUGAGAGGAUGACCAGCCACACUGGAACUGAGACACGGUCCAGACUCCUACGGGAGGCAGCAGUGGGGAAUAUUGCACAAUGGGCGCAAGCCUGAUGCAGCCAUGCCGCGUGUAUGAAGAAGGCCUUCGGGUUGUAAAGUACUUUCAGCGGGGAGGAAGGGAGUAAAGUUAAUACCUUUGCUCAUUGACGUUACCCGCAGAAGAAGCACCGGCUAACUCCGUGCCAGCAGCCGCGGUAAUACGGAGGGUGCAAGCGUUAAUCGGAAUUACUGGGCGUAAAGCGCACGCAGGCGGUUUGUUAAGUCAGAUGUGAAAUCCCCGGGCUCAACCUGGGAACUGCAUCUG
rnacentral:rRNA from 1 species